UGCAAGUCGAACGGAAAGGCCCUGCUUGCAGGGUACUCGAGUGGCGAACGGGUGAGUAACACGUGGGUGAUCUGCCUUGCACUUCGGGAUAAGCCUGGGAAACUGGGUCUAAUACCGGAUAGGAGCCUAUUUUUAGUGUGAUGGUGGUAAAGUUUUCUCGGUGUAGGAUGAGCUCGCGGCCUAUCAGCUUGUUGGUGGGGUAAUGGUCUACCAAGGCGGCGACGGGUAGCCGGCCUGAGAGGGUGGACGGCCACAUUGGGACUGAGAUACGGCCCAGACUCC
rnacentral:rRNA from 1 species